AUGAAGGCACCACCAGGGGCGAGGAACAUGGUGGCCUGCCGUAUGGCGUUGAUGACGAGGGCUGACUGCGUGGUCAGGGCCUCCUCCUGUGCCGGCGAUGCGCGGACAUCGCCGUCGUGGAGGACGACGUCAAAGGCCGCGACGCCCCUGGAGUUCAUGAGCCUGCGCACUUUGGAGCGGCACUUGGGAGCGGUGAUGUCCUCCUUGAGGAGACGAGCGCCGCGGAUGGGGCGGAUGGGCGCGAGGUCGACACCUACGACGAGGGCGCCAAUGGUGGCGCGGCUGACGGCGAGCUGGGUCCAGCCCCCCGGCGCGGCGCCGAGGUCGAGCACGGCGCGCGCCGACGGGAGGAACCGGAAGAGCUCGUCGAGCUGGAGCAGCUUGCAGGCCGCACGGCUCCGGUAUCCUCGCUCCUUUGCCAGAUGGUAG
rnacentral:rRNA from 1 species